GAGAGGGUUCAAGGGGAAAAAAAGAAUUCAUUGUCGCAUCCUCUCUCUCUCUCUCCUCCCUCUCUCUCAUUGAACGAGAAAGAGAGAGACGAAGAGAGGGUGUAGAUUCCAACAUCCCCUUAAAUUCUUUGUAGAUCUUCUUUUUCUUUUCUCGUCAAAUUUUGAGACAGGAAAAGGGAGAAAUUGAGCAAAAAACAAAAAAAAAACAAAAACAAAAAUGGAUCAACAAUCUAUUUUCUACAAAUUUGUGGACAAAUAUUAUAAUCAUAACGUGGCCAGCGAUGUCCCUUGUGCUACGGGCAACAGUUUAGUAUCGAUGUGCGUCGUCCUGGAGAUCCUCCUCCUCGUUAUCAUCUCUCACGGCCUCCACUUCUUCCUCAAACGCCUCGGUCAACCGUCGGCGGUCUCGCAAAUGCUCGCCGGAUUCCUCCUUAGUAAGGCGGUCCUCGGAUCGCACAACAUGUUCCUCGGAAAUUAUGGGCAGCUUAGAAAUCUCACAGCGGCCCUCCGCGUUUUCUUUAUGCUUCUGGUGAGCCUUGAGAUCGACAUAUCCUGCCUCCAACACACCCUGCGGUCCGCUGCCUUGGCCACUCUGGGCAGCG